rnacentral:rRNA from 1 species
AGAUAGGNNCCUUCCCUUCGGGGAACAGAGUGACAGGUGUCGCAUGGUUGUCGUCAGCUCGUGUCGUGAGAUGUUGGGUUAAGUCCCGCAACGAGCGCAACCCUUGAUCUUAGUUGCCAGCAUUUAGUUGGGCACUCUAAGGUGACUGCCGGUGACAAACCGGAGGAAGGUGGGGAUGACGUCAAAUCAUCAUGCCCCUUAUGACCUGGGCUACACACGUGCUACAAUGGAUGGAACAAAGGGCAGCGAAGCCGCGAGGCCAAGCAAAUCCCAUAAAACCAUUCUCAGUUCGGAUUGCAGGCUGCAACUCGCCUGCAUGAAGCCGGAAUCGCUAGUAAUCGCGGAUCAGCAUGCCGCGGUGAAUACGUUCCCGGGUCUUGUACACACCGCCCGUCACACCACGAGAGUUGGUAACACCCGAAGUCGGUGAGGUAACCUUUUGGAGCCAGCCGCCGAAGGUGGGACCAAUGAUUGGGGUGAAGUCGUA